GACGUAGGGCGCGAGCGUUGUCCGGAUUUAUUGGGCGUAAAGAGCUCGUAGGCGGCUUGUCGCGUCGACUGUGAAAACCCGCGGCUCAACUGCGGGCCUGCAGCCGAUACGGGCAGGCUAGAGUUCGGUAGGGGAGACUGGAAUUCCUGGUGUAGCGGUGAAAUGCGCAGAUAUCGGGAGGAACACCGGUGGCGAAGGCGGCGACCUGGGUAGAUACUGACGCUGAGGAGCGAAAGCAUGGGGAGCGAACAGG
rnacentral:rRNA from 1 species